ACCCACAUCCUUAUUCAUUGAACCGUAGAAGUAACCUUUGUAUGCAUAGUUUAUGUGAUGGAUCCACCACCUCCUCUUCCAACCACACCGUUGCUAAGACCAGCUCCCAAUGGAGGAGGAUUCUUAGAUACAUGCUUAUGGUUUCUGUGCUGCUGCGGUCUAUUUAGGUGCUGUUUUCCUCCCCUCUUCGAGUCAGGCCCUCCUCCACUCUAGACUCCAAAAAAUGUACUUUAGGAUUUUCAUUGUUACUGGCUAUGUAUUUAACUUUUUCAAGAGACAAUGUUGCUACUUGCUUUGUAAGAAGGCAUAAACUAAAUUUGUUUCAGGCAAAGUCUAUUUACUGUAAUAUAUCCAACAAUAAGAGUCAACGAUGAUCAUGAAACUCUGAGCAUGUAUAAGCGCAUGAACUAUACAUAACUUCACAAAAUCGCUUUAUAUUUAAAAAAGUGCAUGGUUGAGUGAGGGAAAGGCUCCUCCAAACAUGUAAUUAAUGAGAGUAUACCAAGAACAAGAUUAUGGCAGUUGGUGCAGAGAGUGUUGUUUAUAAUAUAUGAAGAUAGAAAUGGAAACACGUGGGGUCACGACACUCGUGCAUAAAAAAUCUUGCAAAUCCUUGGGAUGAGUCUUCCAGCAUGGUUCCAGUCUGUACUUGAGCUUAACUAACAAUUUGAUACACCUACCCUUUGGAAGUGGGGUGAUUGAUCUACACUGUGGAGGCUCAAAUGCAACAAAAAGAGGCUGAAGAGACUAAAAAACGUUGAAAAAGCAUCAAACUUGAUCUUAAGGCGUGAUGAAAAGGCUCCAAGACAUUGGAAAGAAGUUGAAAUGAGAGCAUUUGAAGAAAGUGUUUUGAAACAGAUCAAGGGGCAUGAAAAGAAAGAGGACAUUUUGAAAGAGAACUUGUGUAGUGUGCAAACGAUUGAAUGUGGAGAAAUUGAAGAGAUAAAAUGAUUC